rnacentral:rRNA from 1 species
GGUGAUAUGAACCGUUAUAACCGGCGAUUUCCGAAUGGGGAAACCCAGUGUGUUUCGACACACUAUCAUUAACUGAAUCCAUAGGUUAAUGAGGCGAACCGGGGGAACUGAAACAUCUAAGUACCCCGAGGAAAAGAAAUCAACCGAGAUUCCCCCAGUAGCGGCGAGCGAACGGGGAGCAGCCCAGAGCCUGAAUCAGUGUGUGUGUUAGUGGAAGCGUCUGGAAAGGCGCGCGAUACAGGGUGACAGCCCCGUACACAAAAAUGCACAUACUGUGAGCUCGAUGAGUAGGGCGGGACACGUGGUAUCCUGUCUGAAUAUGGGGGGACCAUCCUCCAAGGCUAAAUACUCCUGACUGACCGAUAGUGAACCAGUACCGUGAGGGAAAGGCGAAAAGAACCCCGGCGAGGGGAGUGAAAAAGAACCUGAAACCGUGUACGUACAAGCAGUGGGAGCCUCUUAAUGGGGUGACUGCGUACCUUUUGUAUAAUGGGUCAGCGACUUAUAUUCUGUAGCAAGGUUAACCGAAUAGGGGAGCCGAAGGGAAACCGAGUCUUAACUGGGCGUUAAGUUGCAGGGUAUAGACCCGAAACCCGGUGAUCUAGCCAUGGGCAGGUUGAAGGUUGGGUAACACUAACUGGAGGACCGAACCGACUAAUGUUGAAAAAUUAGCGGAUGACUUGUGGCUGGGGGUGAAAGGCCAAUCAAACCGGGAGAUAGCUGGUUCUCCCCGAAAGCUAUUUAGGUAGCGCCUCGUGAAUUCAUCUCCGGGGGUAGAGCACUGUUUCGGCAAGGGGGUCAUCCCGACUUACCAACCCGAUGCAAACUGCGAAUACCGGAGAAUGUUAUCACGGGAGACACACGGCGGGUGCUAACGUCCGUCGUGAAGAGGGAAACAACCCAGACCGCCAGCUAAGGUCCCAAAGUCAUGGUUAAGUGGGAAACGAUGUGGGAAGGCCCAGACAGCCAGGAUGUUGGCUUAGAAGCAGCCAUCAUUUAAAGAAAGCGUAAUAGCUCACUGGUCGAGUCGGCCUGCGCGGAAGAUGUAACGGGGCUAAACCAUGCACCGAAGCUGCGGCAGCGACGUUUAUGCGUUGUUGGGUAGGGGAGCGUUCUGUAAGCCUGCGAAGGUGUACUGUGAGGUAUGCUGGAGGUAUCAGAAGUGCGAAUGCUGACAUAAGUAACGAUAAAGCGGGUGAAAAGCCCGCUCGCCGGAAGACCAAGGGUUCCUGUCCAACGUUAAUCGGGGCAGGGUGAGUCGACCCCUAAGGCGAGGCCGAAAGGCGUAGUCGAUGGGAAACAGGUUAAUAUUCCUGUACUUGGUGUUACUGCGAAGGGGGGACGGAGAAGGCUAUGUUGGCCGGGCGACGGUUGUCCCGGUUUAAGCGUGUAGGCUGGUUUUCCAGGCAAAUCCGGAAAAUCAAGGCUGAGGCGUGAUGACGAGGCACUACGGUGCUGAAGCAACAAAUGCCCUGCUUCCAGGAAAAGCCUCUAAGCAUCAGGUAACAUCAAAUCGUACCCCAAACCGACACAGGUGGUCAGGUAGAGAAUACCAAGGCGCUUGAGAGAACUCGGGUGAAGGAACUAGGCAAAAUGGUGCCGUAACUUCGGGAGAAGGCACGCUGAUAUGUAGGUGAAGUCCCUCGCGGAUGGAGCUGAAAUCAGUCGAAGAUACCAGCUGGCUGCAACUGUUUAUUAAAAACACAGCACUGUGCAAACACGAAAGUGGACGUAUACGGUGUGACGCCUGCCCGGUGCCGGAAGGUUAAUUGAUGGGGUUAGCGGUAACGCGAAGCUCUUGAUCGAAGCCCCGGUAAACGGCGGCCGUAACUAUAACGGUCCUAAGGUAGCGAAAUUCCUUGUCGGGUAAGUUCCGACCUGCACGAAUGGCGUAAUGAUGGCCAGGCUGUCUCCACCCGAGACUCAGUGAAAUUGAACUCGCUGUGAAGAUGCAGUGUACCCGCGGCAAGACGGAAAGACCCCGUGAACCUUUACUAUAGCUUGACACUGAACAUUGAGCCUUGAUGUGUAGGAUAGGUGGGAGGCUUUGAAGUGUGGACGCCAGUCUGCAUGGAGCCGGCCUUGAAAUACCACCCUUUAAUGUUUGAUGUUCUAACGUUGGCCCCUGAUCGGGGUUGCGGACAGUGUCUGGUGGGUAGUUUGACUGGGGCGGUCUCCUCCUAAAGAGUAACGGAGGAGCACGAAGGUUGGCUAAUCCUGGUCGGACAUCAGGAGGUUAGUGCAAUGGCAUAAGCCAGCUUGACUGCGAGCGUGACGGCGCGAGCAGGUGCGAAAGCAGGUCAUAGUGAUCCGGUGGUUCUGAAUGGAAGGGCCAUCGCUCAACGGAUAAAAGGUACUCCGGGGAUAACAGGCUGAUACCGCCCAAGAGUUCAUAUCGACGGCGGUGUUUGGCACCUCGAUGUCGGCUCAUCACAUCCUGGGGCUGAAGUAGGUCCCAAGGGUAUGGCUGUUCGCCAUUUAAAGUGGUACGCGAGCUGGGUUUAGAACGUCGUGAGACAGUUCGGUCCCUAUCUGCCGUGGGCGCUGGAGAACUGAGGGGGGCUGCUCCUAGUACGAGAGGACCGGAGUGGACGCAUCACUGGUGUUCGGGUUGUCAUGCCAAUGGCACUGCCCGGUAGCUAAAUGCGGAAGAGAUAAGUGCUGAAAGCAUCUAAGCACGAAACUUGCCCCGAGAUGAGUUCUCCCUGACUCCUUGAGAGUCCUGAAGGAACGUUGAAGACGACGACGUUGAUAGGCCGGGUGUGUAAGCGCAGCGAUGCGUUGAGCUAACCGGUACUAAUGAACCGUGAGGCUUAACCUU